ACGCUUAUUUUCCUCAUAAAAUACAUCAGUAAUGACUGUCGAACACAAAACAGAAUGUGGACAAUAUCUUUUUCUGCAUUUUCCACCCGCAGAAAUGUACAAAUGAGUCGUAUUUAAUGGGCACUGAGCCAGCAUUUCCUCCUCUCCUCUGCUGUAGCUGUCAGACCAUGAGAGCCUGAGGGAAGAACAAUGUUAUCAAAAUGACAAACUAAGGGACAGUUGUCCCACAUCAAAUCAGUCCUGCUCUGAUUCUAUGCAGUGUCUUGGAGAAAUAUUAUCCACUGUCAACCACAGUUGAUCAUCAAUAUUAGCUUUGCCACUUGCAGACACCAUCAACAGAGAUUUGAAAAAGAAAAAGAGAAGAAGAAAUCAUGGAUGAGUUGCUGAAUCAAACUAAUGAAACAUUCAUCAGACUGAGGAGAGGAAGAAUCCUAUGUGUUGAUAUAGUAGCUAUGAUUUGUGCUUUUUUCGGCUUUCUCUGUGUAGCCGUGAUCACAGGGUUACCGAGGUGGAAACUCUGAAUCAUGGACUGAAUAUGAAGGACUUUGGACUAAAUGUUCUUUUAUCCAUGAUGCCAGUUCAUUAACAUGCAAAGCCUAUUUAGAUCCAGCCCUGUAGUCAGCUCGUUACUUCGUAGCUCUCUUUGGUUCUGGCUGCGGCUGCAUGGAUCAGUUCUCUCAUGAGCAUUCAGUGCACCCAUCCCGACAGUGCCAGGCGCUGCCUGAUUGGAGCAGCCUGUUUGCACCUGCUCGCUUCACUGACUACUCUCAUCCCUGUGUCCUGGACGGCACUCAGCAUCCUCCAUGCCGAUCGUGGUCUGAGCACCAUUCGGUUCCACAUGGGGGUGGCUCUAUUUGUAGGCUGGCUGGCCUCGUGUUUUCUAUGCACAGCCGGGUUGUUGCAGUGUUGUUCUGGGCCCCUCGUCAGGGCAGGAGAAGAAACCAGCAUCGCUGAGUCCUCCAGCCAUAGUGACAUUAGUUUGGACACACUGUUCAGCUCAUCCAGCCUAGACUCUCAUGCAAAUGCAUGCAUUAGUGAAUUGUAAAAAAAUGGUUAAGUUGGUAACAGUAGUCUUUUUUCAAUUUACUUAUAAAUAAGGAAAAUAAAAACUGAAGGGAUAUUUCA